GACGAACGCUGGCGGCGUGCUUAACACAUGCAAGUCGAACGGAAAGGCCCUGCUUGCAGGGUACUCGAGUGGCGAACGGGUGAGUAACACGUGGGUGAUCUGCCCUGCACUUCGGGAUAAGCCUGGGAAACUGGGUCUAAUACCGGAUAGGAGCCAUUUUUAGUGUGAUGGUUGGAAAGUUUUUUCGGUGUAGGAUGAGCUCGCGGCCUAUCAGCUUGUUGGUGGGGUAAUGGCCUACCAAGGCGGCGACGGGUAGCCGGCCUGAGAGGGUGGACGGCCACAAUGGGACUGAGGGACGGCCCAGACGCCUACGGGAGGCAGCAGUGGGGAAUAUUGCACAAUGGGCGCAAGCCUGAUGCAGCGACGCCGCGGGGGGGAUGACGGCCUUCGGGUUGUAAACUCCUUUCGCUAGGGACGAAGCUUUUUGUGACGGUACCUAGAUAAGAAGCACCGGCUAACUACGUG
rnacentral:rRNA from 1 species